GGCCAACUCUGUCCUGGGGGCAUCAGGCACAACAUCACCAGCUGGGCAAGGGAGGGGAUUGUCCUGCUCUGCUCUGCACUGGGGCAGCCUCACCUCCAGUGCUGGGGGCAGAUCUGGGUGCCACAAUAUUUCCAGUGAACAAUGGGAAGAGGAAACCAGGUUUUUUCUCAUGGAAAAAGGACAUAUGGGCUGUGUCUAUGCUAAUAAGCUAAGAAAGGAUAAGGCAUGGGUGCAUGUAUGAAAUUGCCCAUUUUAUGUGGCACUUAGCAGGUUUAUGAGGAAAAACCACAGAGCAACUAUGAGAGUUACUACAACACUACUGAGACCAAGAAAUUAUUUUUUCCUCAUUUUUGGUUUUUCCUUGGCCAAUAUUGAUAACAAUGGCUAAGCUGUUUCUGGACAGAAAGUGUUCUGAAGGAAAUGGACAGUACAGUUGAACAAAGAAAGGGGAAAAAAGGUGCAAGAAAGCUUUGCCAUCUGACACAGUUGUGUAACAUGCAUUCAGGUCAUAAACUUACCUUGGAAAAAAGCAGAUGCAGAAAAAACAGCUUCAAAGGCAUCCACACUGGGAAGUCUGCCUUCUUAUUGAUUAAUCUGCACAAUUUUUACUUUACUUUUUAAAAGAAGAUCCAAUUACAAAAUUAGUUAAUAGCUGAAACAGGCAACACUUCCAUUAGUUUUCUCUGCCUCUCCCAGUGGUUUGGGGAUUUAUGUGCUAUUUCCUACACAUAUAGCGGUAAACUUUAUGAAAUAGUGAACAAAAAGGUGAAGCUAUUAUACAAACAGAAUUCUGAUACUCCUAGAAAAUCACUGGAGAUCUAGUCUAAGCCUCUCCAAAGCCAAUUAAAAUACUGGACCAUGAUAAGGAUGUGGUGGAGGAUAGUACUGAAAACACAAUGUUUUUGUAUAAAUUUAUAUUACCUGCAUUCUUAUUUUGCUUUGCCUAGAAAUUAUGGAAAAAUUUAGAAGAGUUUCACUGGUGUGUAUUAAAGCAAAUCAAUUAAUUGAUUAAUAAAUUAGUCUUUUAGGUCCUAAGGAAAAUAUAAGAACUAUUAAUAAAUAAAGAUAAGUGGCUUUUGUAUGGAAAAUAUCUUCAUCUCUUGGUAAUGUGGAAGAACUAGAAUAAUAUAAAAUUAACAGCAAUGAGAGUAGAAUGAAUUUCAUUAAUUUUGGUAUCAACUGCAUGAAAACAACCACCUUCUUUCCAAAACAGCCACGGAGUACAUGUUAGAAUACAAUGCUUAAUGAUGUGGGGAUAAUCUAUUUUAUUAAGUCCUUUUCAACAUGAAGCAAUCAUCACCUUUUUAACUAAUCAUCUAUUUCACAUUCUAAUAAACAUGGAAAUCAUCUGCAAUGAUACUUAAAGUCGCAUAUAGAGUGUGCUUCUCCUUUCCUGUGGCUAGGUUAACACCACACCCAUGGAAAAUGUUAUUAUGUUCUGAUGAUGCCAGAGUUUGGUUUUACUCUGAUGGGACCAUGAAGGCCACGUUAAACUGACCAACUGUGAUUUACAGCUAGUUUGUCUUCUGCCCGGAAAAUGUACAAUUGAGCUAUAUAAAACAGUAGCUGUUUUCCUCAUUCAUCUGUUUUGAAUCACACUAAUCCUAGGUUUGGAUGAAUGAUAACAUGAAUUAAUGUUUAUGGUGUUCCUAAGUAUUUAGUAAGAAUUACACAACUGUAUUGCCACAAUCAUGGAAUUAAUCAUAGAAUAUUAAACAUUGGAAAGGACCUUAAAGAUCAUCUCAUCUCAAUCCGCUGUACCAUGGGCAAGGACACUAAGGAGCAUGGUCAGGAUGCACUUCAACUGAACGUGGCCACGCUCCUUGUCCAUGUUCUAGACGUGGUCCAGGGAAAUUAGCUUUAGGUGUCUCUGCUUCAGCAGGGUGAGUGAACAAGAUGUUCUCCAGACAUCCCCUCAAACUACAAUAAUUCUGUAAUUCUUCUCAUGUCUGUGUAGAGGAUUGUCAGUUAAAAGACUUGCAAAAACUGUAGCCUAGUUUGCUACAUUCAUGAAAAUGAAUAUAUUAUUCAUGUUAUGCUCUAUGUAUCAUAGGUAUAGAAUACACCUAUUUUUCUGUGUUGCUUGAUCACCCUAUACCUUUUUAAUGUUUUGGGGAUUUUGGCGGGGGUUGUUUGGAUUUGUUUUUCCUCCUUAAAAGUCAAGAAUCAAGUUUGUGUGUUUUAUUGAUGGAUUAUGUUUGUUUGGUCUGUUCUCAGAGAAACACAGAGCUCAUUAAGUCUACAGGGUUGUUAAGGUCAUUGAAAUCAUAGAGUUCCAGCAAGUAUGGAAUAUGACACAGCACUGCAGACUGAAUGAUCAGAAACACAACUCACAACUCAUAGAGGAGCUUUGCCCUGCAAGAUUUCCUCCUCUAUGAGUGGCUUGAUAGUUCACAAUAGCCACAAGGCAGAGUUAUGUGAACUGGAUCCAGCCGCCAAGGCCUCUAUAAAGAGUUUAUUACUUCAGAACCAAUUGUAUGUCUCUCUAUACAACUGUGGUUGUAAAUUAUCUUUUUCUAGGUACAAAUUGAGUUUAGAAAAUAAGUAGAUAAAGUAGUUAACACUAGUGCUGACAGUGGGGCCAGCCAAAUCCCUUGUGCAUGAGAAAAAAAGAGGAGCUGGUCACAAAACAUUUUUUGUGCUUGGCCCUCUGAACAUUGCUCACAUGUGGAAAGCUUUGUCUUCCAGUACAAUAUUUCUCUCUUGUUUCAGUAUAAUGAUCCACAUAGCAAUCCCUACCACAGGUACUCCAUACUACUUUAAAAGUACUCAUCUUUAACAUGAGAUCAUCACUGAGCUUGCACUCUCAGUAACUUGAUCCUUAGAAAAGUGUACAACAGCAAACAAAGAAGCAGAAGGGAUCACAGGCAUGUGGAGCUCAUUGAAUUGAGAGAUGAAAUUUCAUAUAGACCCAAAUAAAUCUAUAAUCAAAAUUGCUACAAAAGCAAUGCUGUUUCAAUACCCCACUGCUCUAUAUAAAAUGUUUUUUUCAUUAGAUAUAUAGUUACUUACAUGGUUCAUUAUGUAAUAGACUUAGGCAUGCAAAACUAUGUUUUAUGUUUUCCUGUAAAAGUUAGAACCAAGUAUUCUUUUGGCCUGUCUCUUGGUGCAAAAUUCAAUUGGACUUGAGUGAAUAGUUUUUGA